rnacentral:rRNA from 1 species
GACGAACGCUGGGGGCGUGCUUAACACAUGCAAGUCGAACGGUGAAGCGCCUUCCUUUUUGGUGGGUGUGGAUGAGUGGCGAACGGGUGAGUAACACGUGAGUAACCUGCCCCCUUCUUCUGGAUAACCGCAUGAAAGUGUGGCUAAUACGGGAUAUUCUGGGUCUGUCGCAUGAUGGGUCUGGGAAAGAUAUUGUUUCGGUGGGGGAUGGGCUCGCGGCCUAUCAGCUUGUUGGUGGGGUGAUGGCCUACCAAGGCGGUGACGGGUAGCCGGCCUGAGAGGGUGGACGGUCACACUGGGACUGAGACACGGCCCAGACUCCUACGGGAGGCAGCAGUGGGGAAUAUUGCACAAUGGGCGCAAGCCUGAUGCAGCGACGCCGCGUGAGGGAUGGAGGCCUUCGGGUUGUGAACCUCUUUCGCCAGUGAAGCAGGCCUGCCUCGUUUGUGGGUGGGUUGACGGUAGCUGGAGAAGAAGCGCCGGCUAACUACGUG